UUGCUGGCCUCAUUUUAAAGUUAGAGUUCAUGAUUUAACAAUAAGAAAGAUUCUUGGCAUCUGAGGAACAGCUCCAGAGUGAAAACCACGGCUAACGAAAGAGAACACAAAGGUUUGUUGUACAUUUGUGAAAAAAAAACAAAAAAAAACAUCCUGAUGAUCCUCUAGACUUUAGGACACAAAACUGGAAAAGUGAAAUCUAACAAACUAAUCACAAAGAUAAAGAAAGUAGCACAAAUGAAUAAACUAAUACAGCAACCCCAAAACUAUGAUAAACGAAAAAAUCUGGCAAAAUCUAAUAGAACAAAAAGAAACAAACAACAAAACCAGAUGCAAUCAGUCCUGAACUUAAUCAUUAUAAUCACAAUCUUAACCCUGCAAAAUGAGCACAAGCCAUUGCAUUCAGUUCAUCUUGGCUUAUUGUCACCCUUGGUUUUGUUGGAUAUUAAAAAAAUAACAACAUUUUCAUACUUUUCUAUAAUUAAAGUUGAAUCUACUUUCACAUGACCUUUAAUUCUUUGUGUCUCUCUCUCUAUAUAUAUAUGAACCAUCACCGCAUAGUUUCCCAACUUUAACGAGCUGUAAAGUCACAAAGGAUGGCGUGUUUCAGCUAUAGACGGCCGUAUAUCUUUCAUUCGGCUGUAUACGUUCAAAGUCAGAGCGGUUUGUUAUCUUAUGAAAACUGGUACAUAGCGAGACGUCUUCCUACCCUCCCAUUCCGCUCCAGCACACCUUUUUGCUGUGCAAGCAGAGAUGUACAAAGACAAUGAUGAAUCCCACCUGCUCAUUUCAUAUCCAACAAAUCGGGCCUCCUAAAUGUUGCUCGUAAAUUUCCUUUCUGAUCUGAUCAAACCAGAUAGCCUGUGGGAUUAUAUUCAUGACUGCAGUCCAGAGGAGCAAGAGGCCAACAGUAGUGGUAGCUCCUGGGCAAAUACAAACAAAUUAAAGGCUUGUUUUAUGAGCUCACUGACUUCAUUUGGGCUUUCCCUCUUUAUUACUCUAGUGGGAGAGAAGGAAAAAAAAACGACGAAUGUUCAAAGUUAGGAGGCCUCCUCACACUGUCAGCGGCUCUUGAAGCGGGCGCUCAAUUGAAACUGCUUUGUUUUUGGGGUUAUGGGGGCAAAAAGCAAACCCACCUGCCCCCUUUUUGAUGCCUGGAUCAGAGGAGGCCAGGUGUAAGGAGAGAAUGUCUGAAGCCCUGCAGAUGCUCAGGCUUGCAUCAGAGUCCCGAGACACUCUUAGGCAGAAAACGCUACACCUACAGUUGUCAAAAUGUGACCAGAGACAUCUGAUAUGCUCUCUGAGUGAGUGGUUAGCUGACAUGCAUGAGCUCUUCAAACAAGUGCAGACAGAUUGACUUCUCUGCAACAACAGAAGCAGAGCAGGAUGUAGACGAUGAAGGCCUCCUGUCCACGUGCUCCUUGUGUCUCAGACUUCCAGGGGUACUUUCCACGUCUAGGGUUACUUAGCAGGUUUUAACAGGCGGAGUGGCAGCUCACCACAGGAGGAUAAAAGUCACUGCACCAUGAA